CCCCUAUUCCCCUUUGGUUGCAGCCGCCCCCCCUUCCCUAUUCCCCUUUGUGGCCGCCACCCCCCCUCUCUCUCUCCCUCUCCUCCCCCCAAGUGAUUGCAGCACCCCCCCCUCAACCCUAGCCGCCCCCCCCUCCUCACCAUGGUGCAUCCUCCCCGCUUGGUACCCCGUCGUGUGGGUGCGAGUCUUCCAUUGGAGUUUGGAGGGAGGAAGAAGGAAGAAUGGAAGGAGGAAAGGAGGAACCCAAGGUGGUGGACUUCCGGAUCGUACUUAGGGAUUUGCCCGAACUUCCGGUAAAGGCAAGUAAAUAUAGUGGUGGUUGCUACCGUUUGGUUUGCAUCCUAUUCCCUGUCAUUGAGUAUGCUUAAGUUUUUAAUUAUGUUAAUCAUUGAAUUCUAUGAUGAAGUUUAUUUGUUUGGAAGUAUUAAUUCUCAAUUGUCUAAUAUUGUGGAUGAUCAUAAUUUGGUUAUGAUAUAUGUGGUUGAUUCCCAUCUUGGACGAAGUUGAAGUAUCUUUUUGAAUCACGUUAUAUGAAGUGUUGUAGGCAUGACAUGCACAUCGCAUCAUCCAUCUUGCAUUUUGAAGUUAUGUCGUGAUCUUAUGGUCCGACCGUACCGGUACAUUUUUAGCAUCGUACGUUUCCCGAGGAGGGGUACGAUGCAGCUUCAUAUCCUUAGAGGUAUGAAGGCAGAAGUCAUCCUUGCAUUUGCAGACAUUUGCAUUCAUGAGGAAUAUAUGAAGUGUGACAUUACUAUGUUACUAUUGUGGUUUUCUACCUGCGAGGUGUGGUAACUAGGUGUGUUGUACGUUGUAUACGUGAUGCACCUUGGUAAUAAGAAGGUUGUGGAAUCAGGUGGUGGUAAAACAAUGUUCUUAUGUGGUUGAAUAGUUUGAUAUUAUUUUACUUGCUGAGAUGUGUCAUCUCACUCUUGCAUUACUCAAUGCAGGUACUUGAUACAUGUUGGGAAUGAGGGGAGUAGCAGCACGUCCACUUACACUCUCACAAUAACGCUGCCCAGGCGCAGCCAUGAUUUAAUUAGAAACUUAUUGUCAAAGGAAGUUUGUUUUUUUAUAUGGUCGUGCGCACUGGUUAAUUCAGUUCAGGUCGUACGUUUAUCUUUCCCUGCUAGCCGAUUAAUAAUACUUAGUAUGUUUUUGUCAUGGUAUAUGUUUAUACCCUGUUGCCCCCCCUAUUUAUGCAAUCUUGCAAAGGGGAUGCUGCCGAAAUUUUAUAUAUGGACGUCAGAAGUGUAGUUUAGUAGCAUUCUGGGUUGUUUGUGGAACCCGGGGUGUUACAGUUAGUCCAUCACUCCAUCUCAUCCACAAUGACCAACCUGUAACAACACCAUGCAAGUCGGAUAACAAGACCAAACAACAACAAAAUUCCAAUAAUCAUAGUGGAUACAAGCGGUUAUUACAUCGUUCUUCUUGGAGUUGUAUCCUUGUUGGAAAACAUGCUAUGAAGUUGCUGAAGUGGCAAAAAUUGUUGCGUCCUUUCUUUCAGUUCUGAAUUUUUCCUGGCAUCUACAUUAUAAAAUUGAUUAGUACAUGCAUACAUUAUAAAUCGAUUAGUACAUACAGGCAUUAUAAAUUGAUUGGUGCAUAUAGUUUUUUUGCGUUUGAUAAUCAUCGAGAGAUCGACCCAGUCUGCAGAAUCAAAGUAGGCGUGCUCGUGGUCCUGCAUUAGGCAUGACAAUAGGAAUUAGAUAAGUGGGAGUGAUCAAAACUUCUAAAUACGCUAGCAUUCAUGUUGUUUGGUCCAAUAGCGUGAGUAGUACCUUGGAUACCAAGGACUUCUUGGGUGCAAUUCCUCUGUACUUCUCCAUGCAUGACUGCAAGCAAAAUGGGUUAAGACGUCACAAACUUGAGCGAAAACCUGUGCCUGAUGCCCAAACUAUGAAUCUGCUCUCUAAAAAAAUAAACGAAAAAAUAGUCGACUUCUGAAGUUGUAUGCCGAACCAUUGAACCUCUUUCGUUCUGGGUUGGGGAAGGCUUGUCCAUUUGUUCAGAGGUCAGCCCAUCAUGCUGCCACAGGACACAGACGCUUCUGAUCUGGUGGACUGACAUGACGGCAUAAAUUUUGACCACUCCAUUAAACAUAAUUCCACGGUUGAAAGCACUGCACCCCAUGGUGAUAAAAAACAAGCAUCCCUUUACAAUUGCUGAAGUAGAACCACUAACAUUGAUCAUUGGUUAGUCUAUUUAAAUCAUUUCGUCUACAUAUUCUAGCCAGAUGUUGGAAUGAAACUUUGAUAUAUGUUCUGAAUAAUUGGUACUUUUAUUUAUACAUUAAAUGGGUUCAAGAUAUACUGAAAGUAUGUUUUGUAUCUGCUAUAUAUAUUCUACAAGUACAACUAUAUGCUAUUAUAAUGGCAAAUAUUAGACCAAAGGUUGUU